CCACACUGUUGUUUGCAGACCUUUGUUCAGGAUUUGACAAUGAUCCUUCGCAUUUUUUUGGUUUUGGCUUUGGUGUCUCUUGCCGAAGGCUGUAGCAUAUUCUUUCAAAGAAACACAUGCACAUGUCGAUGUGGCGAUUUCUUCGAUAUCUGCGAUAAUGGCUGCAAAAGAAUACAAGGCAUGUUCGGUACAGCUUGUUCGUUCAACUGUGCUAAAAUGCUUCAGAGAUGUGUGAGCAGUUGUCCGAAGUAAAAUGUUGUGAAUUUAUUUCACCACAAGCGAGAUAUCAUAUAAAUAGUUUGAGGAUGCUUAAUAAUCAGAGACAACUUAGAAAUUAUAAAAUUUUAUCUCUAUAUAUUUUGACUUUAAAAUACCUUUCAAUUGAAGACUUUCCAUGAAAUCUAUAUAUUAAUAUGUACAUGUAUAUUUUCUGUAAAUGGAAUUAGAAAAUAUUGCAAUCAAUUGUCCAAGCUUAUUUUGUAUCAAGUAAAUGGUCUUUUUAUUUUCUCUAAUGUUACUGUCAAUGCAUUUCGAUAUAAUUUUAAAAGGAAAAGAAUCGUUGGUAUGCUUAUAUUGGCAUGAAAUAGAAAUAAAAAUAUUAUUCAAA